GACGAACGCUGGCGGCGUGCUUAACACAUGCAAGUCGAGCGGUAAGGCCCUUUCGGGGGUACGACGAGCGGCGAACGGGUGAGUAACACGUGGGUGACCUGCCUCUAGCUCCGGGAUAAGCCUGGGAAGCUGGGUCUAAUACCGGAUAUGACCUCGCGGUGCAUGUUGCGGGGUGGAAAGCCUUGUGCGGCUAGGGAUGGGCCCGCGGCCUAUCAGCUUGUUGGUGGGGUGAUGGCCUACCAAGGCGACGACGGGUAGCCGGCCUGAGAGGGCGACCGGCCACACUGGGACUGAGACACGGCCCAGACUCCUACGGGAGGCAGCAGUGGGGAAC
rnacentral:rRNA from 1 species